rnacentral:tRNA from 1 species
GCCUGGGUGGCUCAGUUGGUUGAGCGUCUGAUUUCGGCUCAGGUCAUGAUCUCACAGUUCAUGGGUUCGAGCCCCGUGUCGGGCU